CCUACGGGAGGCAGCAGUGAGGAAUAUUGGUCAAUGGACGAGAGUCUGAACCAGCCAAGUAGCGUGAAGGAUGACUGCCCUAUGGGUUGUAAACUUCUUUUAUAAAGGAAUAAAACGAGGCACGUGUGCCUUUUUGCAUGUACUUUAUGAAUAAGGAUCGGCUAACUCCGUGCCAGCAGCCGCGGUAAUACGGAGGAUCCGAGCGUUAUCCGGAUUUAUUGGGUUUAAAGGGAGCGUAGAUGGGUUGUUAAGUCAGUUGUGAAAGUUUGCGGCUCAACCGUAAAAUUGCAAUUGAUACUGGCAGUCUUGAGUACAGUUGAGGGAGGCGGAAUUCGUGGUGUAGCGGUGAAAUGCUUAGAUAUCACGAAGAACCCCGAUUGCGAAGGCAGCUUACUAAACUGUGACUGACAUUGAUGCUCGAAAGUGUGGGUAGCAAACAGGAUUAGAUACCCUAGUAGUC
rnacentral:rRNA from 1 species